UACGAAGGGGGCUAGCGUUGUUCGGAAUUACUGGGCGUAAAGGGCGCGUAGGCGGUGUGUCAAGUCAGGCGUGAAAGCCCCGGGCUCAACCUGGGAACCGCGCUUGAGACUGGCACGCUCGAGUUCGGGAGAGGAUGGUGGAAUUCCCAGUGUAGAGGUGAAAUUCGUAGAUAUUGGGAAGAACACCGAUGGCGAAGGCAGCCAUCUGGACCGACACUGACGCUGAGGCGCGAAAGCUAGGGGAGCGAAUGGG
rnacentral:rRNA from 1 species